ensembl:lncRNA
AUGUUUUUGUUUGUAUUAUCUUUUACCAGAUCUAAUGUGUUAUUCUUCUACAUUAAUUUCACAUUUCCACAAACUUCAAAGUGUUUCCUUUCAACUGGUAUCAAUAAUAUGCAUAUCCUUCCUUCAGGUCCUGAGCUGCAGGCUGUUAGAUUUGGGUAUGUCAUUUUAGGUGGAUUUUUGCUGGGUUGCUGCUCUGCUCCGCUUCAGGGUGAGAUGGGGCUAGGUUCUUCUCGGCUAAGGUACCCUACCCUCUAUAGAGUCCAACCACCAGCAACCCUCACAAACCAACCUGCAGGAUGAUGAAAGAUAAAACAUUGUUAUGAUAGUUGACUGUUAAACUUGGGAUAUUAGAUGUUGGGGAACUUGGUGACCUGGAAGCACAUCAAUUGAUUCUUCUGACCUACAAUCAGAAGGAGAUUGUAUUCCUGAUCUGCCAUACAUUUAAAUCCCUACAUGCCAUCACAAAAAUCCAUAAACAUAACAGUUUCUCCACAAACAAUUUCUAUCUAUCGGUCUAGCUCCUCAAAACCGUCUACGUCAAUCUAUCUUUAGAAAAAACACAGCCAAUCCAAUCUGCCUGUCCAAUUCAUACCAGGAGCACCUCAGGAGAAUGUGUAUUCCAAUAUUCUAUCAAUAUUAAUAUCUGUUGUCCUCUGCAACUUGGCCUUGUUGAGUGUACGUCUGUGUGUGUGUGCGAGCAAAUAUUGUAGACUCGACAUGAGUUGUGAUUUACCUCUAUAGUGUAGAUAAUUGGACAUGACAACAUCCUCUCUGGUCUCUCGGGGGAACAGAAGAGGAUUUAGACGAUUACAGUCUGUGUUAUAAAUAUGGCACACAUACAGCCCACAACAAAGGCCAUCAUCUGUAAAUGCAUUCUGUAUGAACAGAUAUAUAUUACAAUAUUACAAUAGAUCUUGUCACAUUUUCUGGGAAGCAUGUAAGGGUGUUUUUCAGGUGAUCAGUUGGCAUCGUUUAAUGAUGUUCACCAAUAAAUCAACUGUGUGUUCGUGACUUGAGGUAGAGUUAGUAGCCAACAAAUGAUUUUCUAUGCAUAUGAUGUGCAGCUCUUUGCUUCGUUAAAACCAACCACACCAUGUUUGUUGCAGUUUAGCCAUCAACUCAAAUGAACAGUGUGCUGUUUUUGUUUGUGUUCCAGCCUGAUAGAAGUUGUGUCUCUGGGAGAAAUAGCAGGUAUGUUGAUAUCAGUAUUCCCACAGCCUGCAUAAUUGGAGUAAUUUGCUUUCCCUUUGGGUAAUCUGUAAACAUGGCUGUUUUGAUGUUUUUGGCAUCCUCCAUUGGCUGGGCUCUCUCCUCCUCCGGCGGAGCCCUCAUCUCAGCCCAGGGUGACACAAAUAGAUCCUUCUCCAAAAGGUGCACGUACUUUCAGUGUGGUGCGAUCAAUACGGCCCAGUCCUCACUGGGACACACUGGGGUGCUGGCGGUAUUAAAACUGCCCUGUGAACCGCCUCUCGCCACGCAGGCAUUUUAGGGAAAUAAAACCAUUGAUCCUCCAGGGCCUCUGGCCGAGCAUUAACCUGGCUAAUAAAUUAGAACAUGCUCAUCUGAACACAUCUGCCUGUAAUGUUCCCAAAAAGGCUGGCCUGGGGAGAAGGAAUGGAGUUUGAGAAUGGUAGAGGGUGCCUGCUGGUUGGGAAGAAGAGUAGUGCCCUACUUGACGCCCCCGUCGAGGCGGGAGGGACAGGCAGAGGCAGGGAGAGGCAUCUGGAUGCCCAGGACUUCCAUUAGAGGGCCAGGUUGGUGGCAUGGGUCGAUGUGGCCAGGUCUAGUAGGGGGUACGCCAUCUCGACACAGUGUUUUUCAGCUCCCUGUGAUGAGAAGAAAGAGGGGCUGUUGACCCACUGACAUCCUGUGCUCCUGAGGGGGGAGGAGGGAGGUGGAAAGGGGGUGAGGAGGAGAAAGAACACCGUGUCCAUGGCUGGGCUGGGCCCUGUAGAAUUAAAGCACCUCUAUACGUUGGAUGCUGUUUAUCACCGUAGUGUCUCUUUGAAAUGUCAUUAAAUACGCUGUUCUCAUCAUACAGAGAUGAAUAGAAUUGUUAACGAAGCUGCCUUAUGAAGACCACCUGGAAUGACUUCAAGAAAACCGUUGAAGACCUUUUCUCCACUAAAAUGAACAAGUGAAAUAAGUCUUCAUAGAGUGAGG